GACAGAGGGUGCAAACGUUGCUCGGAAUCACUGGGGUGUAAAGGGCGUGUAGGCGGGUAGAUAAGUCGGGCGGUGAAAUCCCCGGGCUCAACCUGGGAACUGCAUCUGUGACUGCAUGAGCGUAGAGUACGGGUAGAGGGGGGAUGGAAUUCCGCGUGUAGCAGUGAAAUGCGUAGAGAUGUGGAGGAAUACCGAUGGCGAAGGCGCCUCCUGGGCCAACACUG
rnacentral:rRNA from 1 species